GAGAGAGUGACGUGAACAGCUGAGUGAAACUGACACCCCACAAAUCCACAAACAUCCUGAGUGUUGGUGCUCCGUCACUGCAGUUUCAGGUCAUUCAGAGGUCACCGACCCCCAUCUUGCUCCAAAACAAACCAAAGUGGGUCACUUCCUUAGAGAUCCGUUUGUGGAGGAAUCCAGUUGUUCCUCAUAUUGUUAGUGAUGAUGAUCCUGAUGUCCUGCUGCCUCUCCUCCUCUUCCUCUCUCAGGAUGAAGAUGAUGUCCAGCAUCCUGCUGCUCCUCAUCCUCAGCUCAUGUCUCUGUGCAGCAACAUUUGUAGUGAAUGUGACACAGAGCAGCUAUCAGGCAGGAGAAGCAGAACAUCACUCUGGAGUGGACCUUCACCACCAAGACUCAGGGAACCUGGAAGAAUCUGUUCAUCUACUGUGAAGUGAACACGGAUCAUGGAGUCUUUGUUCUCUAUCAUAUUCAUGAAGGAGUUGAGAUUCCAGAGUCUCAGGAUGAUCAGUUUUCAGGACGAGUCCAGAGCGACAAAGACGUCCUCAGAGAAGGACGAAUCAGACUCCAUGUGUCCAGACUGAGGACUGAAGACUCUGGUCUGUAUCAGUGUGGAGUGAAAACUGAAGAUGGAUUCAACUCUGGAAGAUGUCGACUCAACGUUUCUGCAGCUGCUGAUCAGAUCCAAACUCAGAGACCAACUUGGACUCCAGAACCAGAGAGACGAGAAUGGAUGAACAUCUUCAUCAUCAUCAUCACUGUGGGACUGAUAGCAGCAGCAACAACAGCUCUGGUGGCUCUAAUUAUAAAUUUGAUUUUCUGCAUCAGAAAAAAAAGAAAGAAAAACAAAAAAAUAAUCGUUCAACAAGUGUAGUCGCAAAAUAAAAUACCAAUAAAAGUUUUGUUCACUUGAGUUUGGUUGAUGAUAACAUUGGGAUUAAACCCAAACAUUUAUAAAACAUUAAAUGAAAUAACAAAACAGAAACAGUUAAAGUUUUAAAUGAAAUUGAACAGAGAACCAGUUCAGAGAUAACUCCUCAUCUUUGUCUCCAGAGCAGUUCUAACAUCUUCUCAUGCAAUUACAUAUUUAUUACAUUGAGGAAUUGCUGAGUUACAAAUCAUCUGCAUAGAUGGAGAGGCAAACAGUGAAUACAGCUUUGACAUUUCAGUCACAAGUCUCCACUCAAACAUUGCUGCCAUCCUGGAUUUAUGCAGCUGUUGUCUUUGAGCAUAGCUUCUCAUGACUCCUGAGGUUAUAAUAAUAUGUUUAUUGUCUCUCUGGGCCAUAAAAUUUCUGGUUUUUCAGUCAAAACCAGAGUUUCUUGGGACUUGUAGUCUUUGCUCCAGUCCCCAGCAGGGUGUCAACGUUUGGCCCCAGAGUGGCCUGUGCAAAUUAAAAUAUAAGAGAAAUGAGAAUAUAUGAAAAUAAGAUAUUAAAAAUCUAACAGAUAAUUUUGCCACCACAGAAACAUCAGGUUAGAUUUCAUAAAUUUAAUGAGUAAUUAAUUGUACUAAAAACGUUAUUGUUAUUAAAACAUUAAAUCAUUUCAGUCAGACGUAUUGAUCAGUGAUUGUGUUUAAGUAAUGAAUCAGCUGAUUGUUACUGAUAAAGUGAUUUAAUUUAACUAUUUUAUGAAUAUGUUAUGAAGACAAAACAGAAUGAAACCUUUGGUUUUUAUAUUUCACUGUUUUCAAAUGAUGAUUUUUAUAAAUUUAAUACAUUUAAACAAUAAACUUUAAACAUUAAAGUUGUUUUUAACAGAUUUUCACCAUCAUUGUUUGUUUUAAUAGAAGGUUUUAUGAAUAUAAAUGUUGAAGUUUCAGAAACUUUAAUUCUUCAACAUGUCCAAAGUUUUCUCAACAUUUCAAUUCAAAGAUUCUUGAGUUUUAUUUCUCAUAACAUGUUUUAUUGUAGUUUUCUG